GUUUACCCUCACAGCAGGGGUGGCACUGCCCACUAACCACACAGCUGCAGAAGCUGCUGUGCCCCUUCACUGAGAGAGCUGGCUGUCAUGGAGGGAAGGGAGCUGAAGAAGUGAGAAAUAAGGAGGAGAGACUCCUGAAGAUUGGACAGUCAGAUUUAAUGCUGUAUACCUUGGAGGAGCUCCAUCUUCAGAUUUGAUCAAGUUGGACCCUCAGCUGGACACUUGAUCACUGAUCAGUAUUGAAACCAAGAUUGUGUAGUUUCACAUCUAAAUAUUUGUGGAUGGAUCAGAUCAAACCAUUCACUGUGUUCGAGCUCUCAGUUUGACGCCCUCUGCUGGAUCGGUCUGCCCUGGUCAGUUCCUCAGCUGACCAUGGGGAACUACAACUCUGGACUGUACGCUGAUGUGGAACAUUUUAAAGGCAUUGUGUCUUCCCCAGGAAGAGUGACUUCUGAACAGCACAUGCUGGAGAACACCAGCCUUUAUAAUCAUGUGGUGCUGAGGAGUCAGUAGUUUGGGAGGAGAAUGUACCUGACCUGGCUGCCCUCAAAUUUCUCCAUACUGUACCAGAACCACGCAGAGGAAAGCCAAUACUUGAAAUUAGGACUCCAGUUUCAGAGCCUGUUGCGAUUGCUGCAUCUCCUGCAGUCUCCUCUGGACCAGCACUAAAGCCCAGACCUCCUCCGUCCGGCCCGGCUACUCUACAGGGGCUCAGAGACGAGAUCCACGACAUGAGAGGAGAACUGGAGCUGCUGAAGAAUCAGCACAAGAGAGAGAUUACACUGAUGAUGAACGAACUGGACGAGGAGAAGAAAAUGCGCCUAUCGCUGCAGGUUGAAGUUGAUCGUCUUAAGAAACACAUGUCCAAGUGAUCUAAAUCAAACCAAAAUGGACAGAACAGAUCUCACUGUGACUCAGAGGAGAUACGCUGACCCUGGAUUUACCUCUGAGCUGAACCUGAAUCAAAGAUCCAGUGUGUUUAAGGCUUUCAGAAACACUGGAUGGUUCAGGAGUGACAUUGAGCUGCAAACCUGCCUGUGACAGACUGUGGUAGACUGUAAUAAACUGUUCUGAAAUUAAAUAUGUUCAGUAUAAAAUACAACAUAUUAUUAUUGACAUGUGAAUGGGGUCUAACACUUAUAAGAGUCUCAAGUCUCUUUAUCUUUAUAUGAAGAUUGAGCCAUUGUUCAAGUCUGUAACUCUGUGUUUUAAUCUUUUCCUGGUUUUAGUGUAUGGAUCAACCCUUUUGUCUGUUUGCAUAUC
rnacentral:lncRNA from 1 species